CUAUACUGUAGCGGAAGAAAGAAAAACAAUAAUAACGAAGAAAAAAAUUCAUCGAAACCUGAUGAGAUCACAUUUUUAUUUCACGCACGUUAUCAUAAUCUGAUCUCUGUCUCACAUCUUUCAUCGAUAAUUAAUGUAUGAAGAAAGGUGCGGAAAUAGAAUACAUAUUAAGUGAAUAAAUGAUUGGCGUUCCAGUCAAACGCGACAACUUAUUUUUGCAUCACAUAUAACGUUGUACACGGUAGGUAAGGUAUAUAUGUCCCCACUGCAAAUAUAUCCAAGGCAAAGUGUAAAAUGCUUAGUACAAACAAAUGCGCUGUACACAUAACUGCUUGCUGUGUCCGUGGAUAUACGCGGGUGACACUACAUAAGAAGUUUGAUUCACUCUGCCUACUGUUACUUCGUUCGUCUGUAGGUAGUUUUGAAUAUCUGUAAAAGGUGUCCCAGAAAAUGUAUGCCAGACUACGUAUGCUAUUUCUCUGCCUCUAACACAAAAGAAUAUUACGUGGAUACUUUCACAUUAGCUGUACUUGAUAUUCAUACAAUGUAUGUGUCUAGCAAAGAUAUUAAUUAGCGCAACGCAAAUGUACGAAAAUCAAAUCAUUAUUGAAAGAUUGAAUAGUAGAAAAGUGACUCAAGAUAUCAGUUUAGACCGAGUAUCUUGGAGAGGAUUAAUUGGAGGACAAAAAACACCUUCAUCAUUCUGCAUUAAUCGUUCUUAGGAUUCUUUAAACAAUGAUUCAUUACGUUUGAAUAUCAGAGCUGUGCGUCAAUGAUAACUUUGAGAAUUGAUUGUGAAUAACCGUACAGCAUGAAUAAUUAUCUCUACCCCGGAUUCUACCAUGUGGUAGUACGGGGUACUAAUAGUUUUAUUAAUGAUGGUGAAAGAACAAAGGAAUAAAACGAAAAGUCAA
rnacentral:lncRNA from 1 species